CCUGCCUCUAGAAGCUUUGCCAAUGUGGCUGCUGUGCCACAUAUGUGUCAGUAGGUGGCAGAGAGGAGAGAGGCGAUGUCUAUGCUCAGUGUUCCGACCAAUGAACAUCUGAAUGAUUAGUAGCCUAAUAUU